rnacentral:rRNA from 1 species
AACGAACGCUGGCGGCAUGCCUAACACAUGCAAGUCGAACGAGACCUUCGGGUCUAGUGGCGCACGGGUGCGUACCGCGGGGGAACCUGCCCUUAGGUUCGGAAUCACUCCCCGAAAGGGGUGCUAAUACCGGAUAAUGUCUUCGGACCAAAGAUUUAUCGCCUUUGGAUGGGCCCGCGUUGGAUUAGCUAGUUGGUAGGGUAAAAGCCUACCAAGGCGACGAUCCAUAGCUGGUCUGAGAGGAGGAUCAGCCACACUGGGACUGAGACACGGCCCAGACUCCUACGGGAGGCAGCAGUGGGGAAUAUUGGACAAUGGGCGAAAGCCUGAUCCAGCAAUGCCGCGUGAGUGAUGAAGGCCUUAGGGUUGUAAAUCUCUUUUACCCGGGAUGAUAAUGACAGUACCGGGAGAAUAAGCACCGGCUAACUCCGUG